UCUUGGUUCAGGACGAACGCUGGCGGCGUGCCUAACACAUGCAAGUCGAGCGAGGAGAUCCUUCGGGAUGAUCCUAGCGGCGGACGGGUGAGUAACACGUGGGCAACCUGCCUCAUAGAGAGGAAUAGCCUUCCGAAAGGGAGAUUAAUACCUCAUAACAUUGCAGUUUCGCAUGGAACAGCAAUUAAAGGAGCAAUCCACUAUGAGAUGGGCCCGCGGCGCAUUAGCUAGUUGGUGAGGUAACGGCUCACCAAGGCGACGAUGCGUAGCCGACCUGAGAGGGUGAUCGGCCACAUUGGGACUGAGACACGGCCCAGACUCCUACGGGAGGCAGCAGUGGGGAAUAUUGCACAAUGGGGGAAACCCUGAUGCAAGCAACGCCGCGUGAGUGAUGACGGCCUUCGGGUUGUAAAGCUCUGUCUUCAGGGACGAUAAUGACGGUACCUGAGGAGGAAGCCACGGCUAACUACGUGCCAGCAGCCGC
rnacentral:rRNA from 1 species